UACGAGGGGUGCAAGCGUUGCUCGGAAUUAUUGGGCGUAAAGGGUUGGUAGGUGGUCUUGUUUGUCUAAGGUGAAAUCCCAUGGCUUAACUGUGGAAGUGCCUUAGAAACGGCAAGACUAGAGUCCUAGAGGGGUUUGUGGAAUUCCCGGUGUAGCGGUGAAAUGCGCAGAUAUCAGGAGGAACACCGGUGGCGAAGGCGGGUCUCUGGGCCGUAACUGACGCUGAGGAGCGAAAGCGUGGGGAGCGAACAGG
rnacentral:rRNA from 1 species